CGCCCCCUGGAGGUAGAGGAGCAAGAAAGCGAGAGAGAGGAGGGGGGAUAGGUCAGCUGUCCCAACAGAAACGUCCUGGCAUGGAUGACAACCAUUCAGUUCACGGGGAAAAGCCUUUAAACACAGCCUCAUCAUCCUGCAGUGUUUUGGAGCACACAGUGCCUCAUGUUCCACGUGCUCCGACUCUCGGCGCCUCCGCAGCCUUCAGAAUUGCAGCUCUGAGCUGAAAACGAGUCGCCACACCUGCUGGAUGGUGCAGCUGCGGCCGUGACACCGAGUCCGCAGAAAUGGAGAAAGAAGCAAAGGUCAUGUGUCCUCCUCCUCCUCCCAUCUCUGCAGCAGCAUUGGCCAACCCCAUGACCCGCAGACCCUUCAGGGUAGGGUAGCAGCACCAGCGUCGCAUGUGUGCGUAUAUCAGCACACUCACUCACAGCUGAGGGUGAUUCAACACGGGUCAAGGUCAGGCAACAGAUGGGGCUCGCUGUCGUAACCUCAUGUGAACAACAGCAGCUUGAUUAGGCUGUUUACUCGCUUCAUCCUGUGAAACUCAGACUGGACUUCAACCACUCACAGCCACCUGCCUCAGUAGAAUUGUAGCCAGUGUUUUUAUUCCAGUGAUUUCUCACGCAGGUAAAGAUGCACCAUGGUCUCAUGCAGGUAAAGCGUUACUUGCUUAAACUGGACUUUUAAAGGAGGUUGAGGUCUUAUUACACAUUUUAUACUGCAUUAAAUGACUCCUGCCCCAUUAAAACGUCAUUUGCAAAAACAA